UACGGGGGGGGCAAGCGUUGUUCGGAAUUACUGGGCGUAAAGGGCUUGUAGGUGGCCAACUAAGUCAGACGUGAAAUCCCUCGGCUUAACCGGGGAACUGCGUCUGAUACUGGAUGGCUGGAGUGUGGGAGAGGGAUGCGGAAUUCCAGGUGUAGCUGUGAAAUGCGUAGAUAUCUGGAGGAACACCGGUGGCGAAGGCGGCAUCCUGGACCAUUACUGACACUGAAAAGCGAAAGCCAGGGGAGCAAACGGG
rnacentral:rRNA from 1 species